rnacentral:rRNA from 1 species
UACGGAGGGUGCAAGCGUUAAUCGGAAUUACUGGGCGUAAAGCGUACGUAGGCGGCUUGUUAAGCAAGAUGUGAAAUCCCCGGGCUCAACCUGGGAACCGCAUUUCGAACUGGCAAACUAGAGUCUUGUAGAGGGGGGUAGAAUUCCAGGUGUAGCGGUGAAAUGCGUAGAGAUCUGGAGGAAUACCGGUGGCGAAGGCGGCCCCUGGACAAAGACUGACGCUCAGGCACGAAAGCGUGGGGAGCAAACAGG